rnacentral:rRNA from 1 species
ACUCCUACGGGAGGCAGCAGUGAGGAAUCUUAGACAAUGGGCGCAAGCCUGAUCUAGCCAUGCCGCGUGAGUGAUGAAGGCCUUAGGGUCGUAAAGCUCUUUCGCCAGGGAUGAUAAUGACAGUACCUGGUAAAGAAACCCGGCUAACUCCGUGCCAGCAGCCGCGGUAAUACGGAGGGGGUUAGGCGUUGUUCGGAAUUACUGGGCGUAAAGCGCACGUAGGCGGACUGGAAAGUUGGGGGUGGAAAUCCCGGGGCUCAACCCCGGAACUGCCUCCAAAACUAAUCAGUCUAGAGUUCGAGAGAGGUGAGUGGAA